UAACACGUAGGUAACCUGCCCAUGUGUCCGGGAUAACUGCUGGAAACGGUAGCUAAAACCGGAUAGGUAUACAGAGCGCAUGCUCAGUAUAUUAAAGCGCCCAUCAAGGCGUGAACAUGGAUGGACCUGCGGCGCAUUAGCUAGUUGGUGAGGUAACGGCCCACCAAGGCGAUGAUGCGUAGCCGGCCUGAGAGGGUAAACGGCCACAUUGGGACUGAGACACGGCCCAA
rnacentral:rRNA from 1 species